UACGUAGGCAGCAAGCGUUUGUUCGGAAUUACUGGGCGUAAAGAGUGUGUAGGCGGUGCUCCAAGUCUGGUGUGAAAUCUCUGGGCUCAACUCAGAGCCUGCAGGCGAAACUGCCGUGCUUGAGGGUGGGAGAGUGCGUGGAAUUCCCGGUGUAGCGGUAGAAAUGCGUAGAUAGUCGGGAGGAACACCUGUGGCGAAAGCGGCGCACUGGACCACAUCUGACGCUGAGGCGCGAAAGCUAGGGGAGCAAACAGG
rnacentral:rRNA from 1 species